rnacentral:piRNA from 1 species
CCCAGGAUCUUACGGUUGAUUUGACUCAGU